rnacentral:rRNA from 1 species
AUUGAACGCUGGCGGCAUGCUUUACACAUGCAAGUCGAACGGCAGCGGGGGCUUCGGCCUGCCGGCGAGUGGCGAACGGGUGAGUAAUGCAUCGGAACGUGCCCAUGUCGUGGGGGAUAACUACGCGAAAGCGUGGCUAAUACCGCAUACGCCCUGAGGGGGAAAGCGGGGGAUCUUUCGGGACCUCGCGCGAUUGGAGCGGCCGAUGUCGGAUUAGCUAGUUGGUGGGGUAAAGGCUCACCAAGGCGACGAUCCGUAGCUGGUCUGAGAGGAUGAUCGGCCAAACUGGGACUGAGACACGGCCCAGACUCCUACGGGAGGCAGCAGUGGGGAAUUUUGGACAAUGGGCGCAAGCCUGAUCCAACCAUGCCGCGUGAGUGAAGAAGGCCUUCGGGUUGUAAAGCUCUUUCGGCCGGGAAGAAAUCGCAUUCUCUAAUAUAGGAUGUGGAUGACGGUACCGGACUAAGAAGCACCGGCUAACUACGUGCCAGCCGCCGCCGUAACAC